rnacentral:rRNA from 1 species
CUGCCCGCGACGUCACAAGAAGUUCUCUGAACCUUAUCAUUUAGAGGAAGGAGAAGUCGUAACAAGGUUUCCGUAGGUGAACCUGCGGAAGGAUCAUUGUCGAAACCCUGCACAGCAGAACGACCCGCGAACUUGUAAAACCAACUCGGGGGACGAGGGGCCCUACGGCCCCGGAUCUCCUUGGCUUGGGAGGCACCAUCACCGGGCGUCGCCGGUCGACGCGCGUUGGUGUUGCCUUCCCAGCCGCACAAACGAACCCCGGCGCAAAACGCGCCAAGGAACUUGAACGAAUCAGCAAUAUGCCCCGGCGCCCCAGAGAUGGUGUGUGUUCGGGGUGUUGCGUCGUAUUCUUUAUGUCAAAACGACUCUCGGCAACGGAUAUCUCGGCUCUCGCAUCGAUGAAGAACGUAGCGAAAUGCGAUACUUGGUGUGAAUUGCAGAAUCCCGUGAACCAUCGAGUCUUUGAACGCAAGUUGCGCCCGAAGCCAUUAGGCCGAGGGCACGUCUGCCUGGGCGUCACACAACGUUGCCCCCCCCCUCGACCUCGAGGAGGACGGGGGGCGGAUGCUGGCCUCCUGUGCGCCACGGCUCGCGGUUGGCCCAAAUGCGAGUGCUCGGCGACGAGCGCCGCGGCAAUCGGUGGUUGUCCAACCCUCGGUGCCAUGCUGCGCGCGCGAGUCGCUCUCUGUGUUUACUCGACGACCCCCAAUGCGUCGCAUCCGCGACGCUCACAACGCGACCCCAGGUCAGGCGGGGCUACCCGCUGAGUUUAAGCAUAUCAAUAAGCGGAGGAAAAGAAACUUACAA